CUGGCUCAGGAUGAACGCUAGCUACAGGCUUAACACAUGCAAGUCGAGGGGCAGCAUGAAGGAAGCUUGCUUCCUUGAUGGCGACCGGCGCACGGGUGAGUAACGCGUAUCCAACCUUCCCCUGACUCCGGAAUAGCCCGGUGAAAACCGGAUUAAUGCCGGAUGCGGUCCGGAGAGGACAUCUGACCUGGACCAAAGGCUUGCCGGUCAGGGAUGGGGAUGCGUCUGAUUAGGUUGUUGGCGGGGUAACGGCCCACCAAGCCAUCGAUCAGUAGGGGUUCUGAGAGGAAGGUCCCCCACAUUGGAACUGAGACACGGUCCAAACUCCUACGGGAGGCAGCAGUGAGGAAUAUUGGUCAAUGGGCGAGAGCCUGAACCAGCCAAGUAGCGUGGAGGAUGACGGCCCUACGGGUUGUAAACUCCUUUAUCAGGGGAUAAAGUCCGCUACGUGUAGCGGUUUGCAGGUACCUGAUGAAUAAGGACCGGCUAAUUCCGUGCCAGCCGCAGC
rnacentral:rRNA from 1 species